rnacentral:lncRNA from 1 species
AUUAUUUCUGAAAAGGCUAUAAGAAAAGUUUACAUUCUUUUUUUUUUUGAGAGAGAGAUAGAUAGCAUACUACCCGCUUCGUUUAUUUCAUUUAGAAAUAAACUUAGCUAGAAAUGUAAAUCAAUUAGGAUUCGAGCUCGGGACCUCGAGUACCAACCACCAAAUCAUUUACCACUUGCUCUAGAAACAGUCAGUAAAAUUUCAGAUUCUUGAUUUUUAAAAUAUCGUUUCUGAAUAAUAAUUAA